rnacentral:rRNA from 1 species
ACGCACGCUGGCGGCGUGCUUAAUACAUGCAAGUCGAACGGAAAGGCCCCUUUGGGGGUACUCGAGUGGCGAACGGGUGAGUAACACGUGAGUAACCUGCCCUUGACUUCGGGAUAACUUCAGGAAACUGGGGCUAAUACCGGAUAGGAAUCCUUGCUGCAUGGUGGGGGUUGGAAAGCUUCGGCGGUUUUGGAUGGACUCGCGGCUUAUCAGCUUGUUGGUGGGGUAGUGGCUUACCAAGGCUUUGACGGGUAGCCGGCCUGAGAGGGCGACCGGCCACAUUGGGACUGAGAUACGGCCCAGACUCCUACGGGAGGCAGCAGUGGGGAAUAUUGCACAAUGGGCGGAAGCCUGAUGCAGCAACGCCGCGUGCGGGAUGACGGCCUUCGGGUUGUAAACCGCUUUCAGCAGGGGCGAAGCUUGUGGUGACGGUACCUGCAGAAGAAGCACCGGCUAACUACGUG